GAAUUGACGGGGACCCGCACAAGCAGCGGAGCAUGUGGUUUAAUUCGAAGCAACGCGAAGAACCUUACCAGGCCUUGACAUCCUCUGACAAUCCUAGAGAUAGGACGUUUCCUUCGGGAACAGAGAGACAGGUGGUGCAUGGUUGUCGUCAGCUCGUGUCGUGAGAUGUUGGGUUAAGUCCCGCAACGAGCGCAACCCUUGCCUUUAGUUGCCAGCAUUGAGUUGGGCACUCUAAAGGGACUGCCGUAGACAAUACGGAGGAAGGUGGGGACGACGUCAAAUCAUCAUGCCCCUUAUGGCCUGGGCUACACACGUGCUACAAUGGGUUGGGACAAAGGGAAGCGAAGCCGC
rnacentral:rRNA from 1 species